UGAGGAAUAUUGGUCAAUGGGGCGAGAGCCUGAACCAGCCAAGUAGCGUGCAGGAUGACGGCCCUAUGGGUUGUAAACUGCUUUUAUGCGGGGAUAAAGUGUGCCAUGUACGGUGUUUUGCAGGUACCGCAUGAAUAAGGACCGGCUAAUUCCGUGCCAGCAGCCGCGGUAAUACGGAAGGUCCGGGCGUUAUCCGGAUUUAUUGGGUUUAAAGGGAGCGUAGGCCGGAGAUUAAGCGUGUUGUGAAAUGUAGUGGCUCAACCUCUGCACUGCAGCGCGAACUGGUCUUCUUGAGUACGCACAACGUGGGCGGAAUUCGUGGUGUAGCGGUGAAAUGCUUAGAUAUCACGAAGAACUCCGAUUGCGAAGGCAGCUCACGGGAGCGCAACUGACGCUGAAGCUCGAAAGUGCGGGUAUCGAACA
rnacentral:rRNA from 1 species